UAUUCGAGGGUAUUUGUCUUGUUUUUUCUCACCCUUCACAAAAGCUGUCCUCUGCUUAACAUGCUCGUUUUUUCCUUUGGAGCCAUUUUCCUCUGUAGGCUCUCUGAGCUGGCCAGCUGCCAAACAGUAGGGUGAGCUGCAUGAAAAAGCCUUGAUCAUUGACAGGCUGUCUUACAAUUUCUUUCUUGUAUUCAAGAUGCAGAUGGAUGUUAUUAGAAAGGUUUUUACUUCGAAUGUGCGCGGCUUGUCCACAUGGCUGAGAUUAGUGCUCAAUACUCAUAUAAUGCUUUUCAUCCUCAAAAGGACUUUACAAGCUCCAGCCCUCAAAACACCCCUACAAGAUAAUUUUUUUUUCCAGGAGUAAAUUCUUGCAUAGUUAUGUCAAUUGAAUGAAGGACUCUGCAGCAUCUCAGGAAAAACAGUGACUGUAAGUAACUGAACUCUCUGGUGUGUCAGGUAGGACUGCAUGCUUGGUGCUGCAUACAGUAGGGUGAAGGAAUGGUAUAAAGUAGUCAUGCUUUUUUAACCCCAAGAAAGAUUUCUUACUUUUUUCCAGAAUACUUCUACAUUUGAUUUUAUCUCCCUCCUGUUUUACUGGGAAAGGUAUCUGGCCCCACAAACUACUCUGGAGAAAAAGGAAAAGCAAGUUAUUUUCUGGUUUUAUGACUACUAUACAGUGUUUCAGGUAAAUUUGGAAAAUGAUGGGCACAUAAAUUAAUGAAAUUUUUCUUAAGGGAAAUUACAAGUGGAACAAGUUAUCACAUUUUUAUGGUUUCUACAUCCUUAGUCUUUAAUGCCAGCUACCCUAUUUCACUUUAUAAUUGUGCAAGUGAGUGCAUCUAGGCCAAUUAAGCAUUUUCAGUUGCCUUCAAAAGAGUUGCAACUGCCUGCUAGAGGGAGGAGAUACCACAUGAUUUAGCCUUAAUCGUUUGGGUUUAAGGUUAAGAGCUGCUUUUUCAGGGCCACAACUUACCUGCAUGGUUUUGAGGAAAAGACAUACAUGUGCUCAUUGCAAAACCAUGAGGUAUUUAAUAGCUCAAAGCUAUGUAUUGCUUUGGAUAUGUUCAGUACUUUUAUUUCUCUUUAAAAUUUACAAAGAUCUGCAAGCAUUGCAGAAUGGGUUCAGGCUAC
rnacentral:lncRNA from 1 species